rnacentral:rRNA from 1 species
UGCGCGUGAAUAUUGGACAAUGGGGGCAACCCUGAUCCAGCAAUGCCGCGUGUGUGAAGAAGGCCUGAGGGUUGUAAAGCACUUUCAGUAGUGAGGAAAAGUUUACGGUUAAUACCCGUGAACCCUGACGUUAACUACAGAAGAAGCACCGGCUAACUCCGUGCCAGCAGCCGCGGUAAU